rnacentral:rRNA from 1 species
GAUGAACGCCGGCGGCGUGCCUAAUACAUGCAAGUCGAGCGAACGGACGAGAAGCUUGCUUUUCUGACGUUAGCGGCGGACGGGUGAGUAACACGUGGAUAACCUACCUAUAAGACUGGGAUAACUUCGGGAAACCGGAGCUAAUACCGGAUAAUAUUUUGAACCGCAUGGUUCAAAAGUGAAAGACGGUCUUGCUGUCACUUAUAGAUGGAUCCGCGCUGCAUUAGCUAGUUGGUAAGGUAACGGCUUACCAAGGCAACGAUGCAUAGCCGACCUGAGAGGGUGAUCGGCCACACUGGAACUGAGACACGGUCCAGACUCCUACGGGAGGCAGCAGUAGGGAAUCUUCCGCAAUGGGCGAAAGCCUGACGGAGCAACGCCGCGUGAGUGAUGAAGGUCUUCGGAUCGUAAAACUCUGUUAUUAGGGAAGAACAUAUGUGUAAGUAACUGUGCACAUCUUGACGGUACCUAAUCAGAAAGCCACGGCUAACUACGUG